rnacentral:rRNA from 1 species
UAGUCCACGCCGUAAACGAUGAUAACUCGUUGCUGGCGAUACAUUGUCAGUGACCAAGCGAAAGUGUUAAGUUAUCCACCUGGGGAGUACGAUCGCAAGAUUGAAACUCAAAGGAAUUGACGGGGGCCCGCACAAGCGGAGGAACAUGUGGUUUAAUUCGAUGAUACGCGAGGAACCUUACCUGGACUUAAAUGUACGUUGCAUGGAUCAGAGAUGGUCCUUUCUUCGGACUACGUACAAGGUGCUGCAUGGUUGUCGUCAGCUCGUGCCGUGAGGUGUUGGGUUAAGUCCCGCAACGAGCGAAACCCUCAUCCUUAUUUGCCAGCGGUUCGGCCGGGGACCAUAAGGAAACUGCCGGUGAUAAGCCGGAGGAAGGUGGGGACGAUGUCAAGUCAUCAUGGCCCUUAUGGGUUGGGCUACACGCGUGCUACAAUGGUAUCUACAGAGGGAAGCAAUAUGGCAACAUGAAGCAAAUCCUCAAAGGAUAUCUCAGUUCGGAUUGGUCU